rnacentral:rRNA from 1 species
UACGAAGGGGGCUAGCGUUGCUCGGAAUCACUGGGCGUAAAGCGCACGUAGGCGGACUCUUAAGUCAGGGGUGAAAUCCUGGAGCUCAACUCCAGAACUGCCUUUGAUACUGGGAGUCUUGAGUUCGGGAGAGGUGAGUGGAACUGCGAGUGUAGAGGUGAAAUUCGUAGAUAUUCGCAAGAACACCAGUGGCGAAGGCGGCUCACUGGCCCGAUACUGACGCUGAGGUGCGAAAGCGUGGGGAGCA